rnacentral:tRNA from 1 species
GCCGCGAUAGCUCAGUAGGUUAGAGCGCAUGCAUGGUAAGCAUGAGGUCGCCGGUUCGACUCCGGCUCGUGGCUCCA